GGCGCCGCGGCGGCCGCGGAGCCCGGGGACCCCGCCCAGGUGAGCGGGGCUGGCCGUGCAGCCCGUCGUCCCCGCCGCCUCCCCACCCCACGCCGAGGUUCCCGUGGCGAGGGCGGGCACUGGGCGCGGGGCGACAGGGUCGUGCCGAGGACCGUCGGCUCGGCUCCGGUGCUGGAAGCGUAGACUUCGGCCCCAAUCCUCUGGCCCGGUUCGCGGAGGGAAGGGGCCAGCAGGCUGCUUGCCCCCUCGUCAGGGGCUCCCCUGCUCCUUCUCUAGAGAGCCCGCAAGCCCCGGGGUCGCCGGCGUCCAGACCUGCCCGCGCCAGAGCUGUGGACCGAGCUGACCGGCCUGAUCGGUAGGUGCGGGCUGGGAGCCCCGCUGUGCGAGGGCGGUGCCGGGACCUCCCUGGGAGGGCGGAGGCCUGGUUCUAGCACGUGACCCGAAAUGCCUCCCGCUCCCCUCCAUGACCGGCAGGCAGCUCCGAGCCUGAAAAUGGGUCGGAAAGCGGAGCCGAGGGCCGCGCAGCAGCUGUGUCCCUGGAGGAGGCCCUCCUGCGCCUCGCCGAGUUCCUCUCCGUCCAGCUGGGGGCGGAAGAGAGCUGCGGGAGCCCGGCCGACCUGGGCCAGGUGAGCUCGGCGGAGGGGCUGCUGGCAGCUGUCACCUGCCAGGCCUUCUUGGCUCUCACAGCCCUGCUCCGAUUUUUAUCUCCUUCACAGUCUGGCGAGGUCCCCCCACUGUUGACAGUGACCAGUCAGCUCUUGGCCCUUCUGGCAUGGCUUCGGAGCCCCAGGGGGAGGCAGGCCCUGCUCCAGGGAACUCAGCCAGCCCCUCGGGUCCGGCCCCCCACUCCAGAUGGAUCCACAUCCCAAGAAGAAAGCACUUCCCACCUCGCCGCAGUCCCAGGGGAGCCACUGGGGGAUGAGGCCCAGGGACAGCAGCCCCUCCAGUUGGAGGACGACCAGAGAGAGUGGCAGCGGCUGGAACAGCUCAUCCUCGGACAGCUGGAGGAGCUGAAGCAGCAGCUGGAACAGCAGGAGGAGGAGCUGGGUCGACUGCGCCUGGGCGUGGGGGCGACAGACUCAGAGAAAAGGGUUCAGCAUCUCACUCUGGAGAACGAGGCCCUGAAGCAGAGCCUGAGCCUCAUGCGGGACCUUCUGCUGCACUGGGGUCCCGGCCCCCCUACCAGGGCUCCGCAGGAGGAGGCGGAGGCAUUGGUGGAGCUUCAGGGCCGGCUUCAGGAGGCCCAGGACACCACAGAAGCCCUCCGAGCCCAGCUGGGGGUGCAGGAGGUGCAGCUGCAGGGCCUUCAAGGGGCCCUCCAGCAGCUCCAGCAGGAGACGGAGCAGAACUGCAGGCGAGAGUUACUGCAGAUGCAUGGGCAGCUGGCAGGACUUCGGGCACGGAUGGCCAGCCUGCGUCAGGGCUGCGGCGAUCUCCGAGGAUUGGUCAGCACCUUUACCCAGAGCUGUCAGGGUUCGCUGAGUGAGGCCCGGGGCCAGGUCAGGACCCCUCACCGCCUAGCCCCUCCUCUCUGGGCAGCCUAUUCACUGUUCUUUUGACGGGGGUGCUCCUGGGGAGUUGGCUGUACUAAUAAGUGGGGCUCUGGAACCCAAACAGCUUCUGUGUGACCCAGGCUGGGACUUCGCUUCUGGGUCUGGUUUUCAUCAUGUGCAUACUUGGGUGACAGUAAACUCUUUUUUUUUUCAAUUUUAAUAAUAAAUUUUAUUUAUUCUAAUAGAUCUCUUUUUUUUUUUUGAGACGGAGUCUCGCUGUGUCGCCCAGGCUGGAGUGCAGUGGUGCGAUCUCGGCUCGCUGCAAGCUCUGCCUCCUGGGUUCACGCCAUUCUCCUGCCUCAGCCUCCAAGUA
rnacentral:lncRNA from 1 species